CCGCCCCCGGGGGAGCGCCGUGGUGGCGGCGGCGGCGCGGGGGAGUGUUCUGCCUGUGUGUGCAGCAGAGCUCCCUACCCGCACUGCUGCGGCAUCCAGGCUGCUGCUGGCCGCGCUUCAUCCGCUCCCCUCCCCGGGGCUUCCACUGGGCUGCUGCGAGACCAUGCCGCGCUCGCUGCGGCGGGGAAUCGGAGACUAGUUUGGGAUCAGCAGAAGAGGGUGAGGUCAGUGGAUGUUGUGCUGCUGUGUGUGCCCAGAGGACAGAGAUUGCAUCAGCAAACCACCUCCGGUUUGCUUCUGGGCUCUUCACCCGUCAUGGUCAUGGCCUGGCCUGUGAUGUCACUCCCCUGUCCUCAUGCCUGUCCCUGAGCAACAUCUGGUGUCAGCCCCUGGCUUCCACUCUGUGAGGCUGCAGUGGAUACCUGUCCACAGAGAUCUGCCACCGCUUAGGAUAAAACCCCACGUGUGUUUUUUAUCCAGGAGCAGCAGCUGGAGGGGAAUGCACUGUUGGGAUAUCUGUG